UUUUUUUUUCUUCUUCUUCUUUCUUCUUCUUCUUUUCUUUUGGGUACAACAGGGAGAA
rnacentral:ribozyme from 17 species